UACGGGGGGGGUAAGCGUUGUUCGGAAUUACUGGGCGUAAAGGGCUCGUAGGCGGCCAACUAAGUCAGACGUGAAAUCCCUCAGCUUAACUGGGGAACUGCGUCUGAUACUGGAUGGCUUGGAUCCGGAAGAGGGAUGCGGAAUUCCAGGUGUAGCGGUGAAAUGCGUAGAUAUCUGGAGGAACACCGGUGGCGAAGGCGGCAUCCUGGGCCGGUAUUGACGCUGAGGAGCAAAAGCCAGGGGAGCAAACGGG
rnacentral:rRNA from 1 species